rnacentral:lncRNA from 1 species
GAUGCUGAAAUCACUGCACCUUAAAAACAAAAGGAUUAAGCUGCACUGCAUUCCUCUUCCCUGGCCACCGGAGGUUAACCUUGCAAUUACACUCGUGACCCAAGUUAAAAACGCUCAUGGAUUUGAUGUCUCUGGCAGCAAUUUAAAGGGAGCUGUUGCAGCGGAGGGGAAGUGGGGGAACACUCCUGAAUCUGAGAGUACUGAAUUACAAAGUCAUCUUGCAAUUUUUCUGUGAACAGCCAGGAGAAUUUUUGUUGGAAAGGAGUAGCAAUUCUCUUUCCAGAACGCAACAGCAGAGUGAGGAGUGAAUUAAGGCAUGUUCUUUGGAUCCUUAGGAACCAGAUGGUCACUAAGUCCUGCAUGGAUAGCAGUAAGGCAAAAUACCGGGUAGUAAUAUAUGGACCUAAUGAAUGGUGCUGGCUGGAAUGGGCUUUUUCAGUUGGUGAGGAGAUGAGAGAGUAGGGUUUUGAUGAGGGGAAUAAAUAUACAAGUAUAGAACUCA